UGGAGAGUUUGAUCCUGGCUCAGAUUGAACGCUGGCGGCAGGCCUAACACAUGCAAGUCGAACGGUAACAGGAAGCAGCUUGCUGCUUCGCUGACGAGUGGCGGACGGGUGAGUAAUGUCUGGGAAACUGCCUGAUGGAGGGGGAUAACUACUGGAAACGGUAGCUAAUACCGCAUAACGUCGCAAGACCAAAGAGGGGGACCUUCGGGCCUCUUGCCAUCAGAUGUGCCCAGAUGGGAUUAGCUAGUAGGUGGGGUAACGGCUCACCUAGGCGACGAUCCCUAGCUGGUCUGAGAGGAUGACCAGCCACACUGGAACUGAGACACGGUCCAGACUCCUACGGGAGGCAGCAGUGGGGAAUAUUGCACAAUGGGCGCAAGCCUGAUGCAGCCAUGCCGCGUGUAUGAAGAAGGCCUUCGGGUUGUAAAGUACUUUCAGCGGGGAGGAAGGCGAUGCGGUUAAUAACCGCGUCGAUUGACGUUACCCGCAGAAGAAGCACCGGCUAACUCCGUGCCAGCAGCCGCGGUA
rnacentral:rRNA from 1 species